rnacentral:rRNA from 1 species
GUAGGGAGCGAGCGUUGUCCGGAAUUACUGGGUGUAAAGGGAGCGUAGGUGGUAUGGUAAGUCAGAUGUGAAAGCCCAGGGCUCAACCCUGGGACUGCAUUUGAAACUACCAAACUAGAGUGCAGGAGAGGAGAGUAGAAUUCCUAGUGUAGCGGUGAAAUGCGUAGAUAUUAGGAGGAAUACCAGUUGCGAAGGCGGCUUUCUGGACGAUAACUGACGCUGAGGCGCGAAAGCGUGGGGAGCAAACAGG